GAGUUUGAUCCUGGCUCAGGAUGAACGCUGGCGGAGUGCCUAACACAUGCAAGUCGAGCGGCAGCACGAGUAGUUUACUACUUGGUGGCGAGCGGCGGACGGCUGAGUAACGCGUGGGAACGUGCCCCAAAGUGAGGAAUAACUGCCCGAAAGGGUAGCUAAUGCCGCAUAUGAUCUUCGGAUUAAAGUAUUUAUUACGCUUUGGGAGCGGCCCGCGUCCGAUUAGGUAGUUGGUGAGGUAAAGGCUCACCAAGCCCACGAUCGGUAGCUGGUCUGAGAGGAUGACCAGCCAGACUGGAACUGAGACACGGUCCAGACUCCUACGGGAGGCAGCAGUGAGGAAUCUUCCACAAUGGACGAAAGUCUGAUGGAGCAACUCCGCGUGCAGGAUGAAGGCCCUCGGGUCGUAAACUGCUUUUAUGAGUGAAGAAUAUGACGGUAACUCAUGAAUAAGGGUCGGCUAACUACGUGCCAGCAGCCGCGGUCAUACGUAGGACCCAAGCGUUAUCCGGAGUGACUGGGCGUAAAGAGUUGCGUAGGUGGUUAGUAAAGUGAAUAGUGAAAUCUGG
rnacentral:rRNA from 1 species